AUUGAACGCUGGCGGCAGGCCUAACACAUGCAAGUCGAACGAGUGGCGGACGGGUGAGUAAUGUCUGGGAAACUGCCUGAUGGAGGGGGAUAACUACUGGAAACGGUAGCUAAUACCGCAUACUAUCGGAUGUACCCAGAUGGGAUUAGCGAGUAGGUGGGGUAAAGGCUCACCUAGGCGACGAUCCCUAGCUGGUCUGAGAGGAUGACCAGCCACUCUGGAACUGAGACACGGUCCAGACUCCGACGGGAGGCAGCAGUGGGGAAUAUUGCACAAUGGGCGCAAGCCUGAUGCAGCCAUGCCGCGUGUAUGAAGAAGGCCUUCGGGUUGUAAAGUACUUUCAGCGGGGAGGCGUUACCCGCAGAAGAAGCACCGGCUAACUCCGUGCCAGCCGCCGCGGUAAUUC
rnacentral:rRNA from 1 species